GACUGACACGCAGGCCUCGGAGCUCCCUGGGCGUAUAUUAAGUCCAGCUAAUGAGCUGGUCAAUGUGACGGGCGGCGGCUGUGAUCGAUGUCCCCCCUGAAUUGAUGUGCUCUGCAAUGAAGGACACUGACCCACCGAGAAAUGUUGAUGAAGUAGCCGCCUGGAAACUCUCACUUCUCCUCACAGUCUGAGGAGUCUGUGAAGAACGCUGCAAAGACGAGGUCAUUGCAGUGAACAUAGCCUCUCUCUCGCUCUCCAUCUCCCCUGUUCUCCUGGACAGAAGAGGACUCUGCAGCUCAUAAGUGACAGUGAAGGAGUCAACCCGGUGGAACUGAUGCCCCUGAUCAGCGAUGGUCUGGAAAAGCAUAAAGACAAAACUGGAAGAAGGGAGGAGAGGAUAAUGCUGAGACAGCACUUUCCCCAACCCACAGAGGGAGAGGAGGGAGCUGCGUCCAUAUUGAUCGUCUGUGUGUGAGGCUCCCCUGCGAUUUUUUGCCCCAUGGCGGCUCUCUGGACUGUUGUCAGCAAAUGCCUGAAGACAUAGAAAUGUGACAAGGAGAAACCAUGUUCCUGCCUGACUCCAUGCUAUAGAGAUACUACACCAACUAUUUAAAAGACAGUGCCAUCAUGCCCACUGGAACAUAAACUGCAGCUAUACAAGAAAGGGUAGUGGCAAGAUGAUUCCUCUACUAACAGACAACACGCUAUUGCCUGGCUCUGAUGUCACUAAAGGCCCAGGAUGUGAGAGUUGCCACAGGGCCCUGACCCUCCGACAGUCCAAUGGAGUGCAUAGAUCUGAGGUUAAGUCAUCUGACCUGACUGGCCGCCGCACAGGGACGAGGAUGAUGACAGCUCGACUGGAUGAAGGCACUGGUUGGUUGUUCUGUGGGGAAGUGGAGGCCUGCCCGUCUCUGGGUGCCCUGUGGCUAUCGAUGACAUCAGCACUGUAAACUGCAGAGGAAUCGAUAAAUCUGAGAUCCCGGAGCCUGGGCUUGGUUCACAGAUUGUGAUCUUUUGCUUGAAGAUCUGUGGGGACCUUGCAGAGACGACUCCAAAGACGCCACCAAACGCUUGGCUGCAGUGGUAGUCCUGGUUUCUGUGUCUAAAGGCUGGAGGGCCAGUGCCUCAGACCAGGUCCAGUCUGUGCAUGGAAUAAAUUACACAUAACACAACAGAUACAGUCAGCGUUAGAGAACAAAAGUACAUUUUCAGAUCAGGUUUUGUUGGAAAGUAACAGUUUUCACAGCUCCUAACUUAUUUAAAUUGGUGGCUGAUAGCUAUGGUCGCAGCAAACAUAACCCCCUCCCCCUCCUGCACUCAUAGAAAAA